GUCGAGAAUCAUUCGCAAUGGGCGAAAGCCUGACGAUGCGACGCCGUGUGGACGAUGAAGGCCUUCGGGUUGUAAAGUCCUUUCGCAAGGGAACAAGAGAUAGUGACUAAUAAUCGCUAAAUUUGAGGGUACCUUGUAAAGAAGCACCGGCUAACUCCGUGCCAGCAGCUGCGGUAAUACGGAGGGUGCAAGCAUUAAUCGGAUUUAUUGGGUGUAAAGAGCGCGUAGGCGGAUCAGCAAGUCAGAUGUGAAAUUUCGAAACUCAAUUUCGGAGCUGCAUUUGAAACUACUAAUCUUGAGGGUAGACGGAGAAAACGGAAUUCCACAUGUAGCGGUGAAAUGCGUAGAUAUGUGGAAGAACACCGGUGGCGAAGGCGGUUUUCUAGUUUACUCCUGACGCUGAGGCGCGAGAGCAAGGGUAGCAAACAGG
rnacentral:rRNA from 1 species